ACCUACGGGACGCAGCAGUGGGGGAUAUUGCACAAUGGGGGAAACCCUGAUGCAGCGACGCCGCGUGAGUGAAGAAGUAUUUCGGUACGUAAAGCUCUAUCAGCAGGGAAGAAAAAUGACGGUACCUGACUAAGAAGCCCCGGCUAACUACGUGCCAGCAGCCGCGGUAAUACGUAGGAUGCGAGCGUUAUCCGGAUUUAUUGGGUUUAAAGGGUGCGCAGGCGGCGAGUUAAGUCAGCGGUAAAAUUUCGGGGCUCAACCCCGACGAGCCGUUGAAACUGGCUUGCUAGAGUGGGCGAGAAGUA
rnacentral:rRNA from 1 species